rnacentral:rRNA from 1 species
CAGCGCCACGAGUGGCGAUCAUGUUUAUUUGGCCUAAAGCGUCCGUAGCUGGUUAAGUAAAUCUCUUGUAAAAUUGUUUCGCUUAACGAAACAGCGUGCAGGAGAGACUGCUUAGCUAGGGACCGGGAGGAGUCAGAGGUAUGCUGGGGGGAGCGGUAAAAUGCAAUAAUCCUCGGUAGACCACCUGUGGCGAAGGCGUCUGACUAGAACGGGUCCGACAGUGAGGGACGAAAGCCAGGGGAGCAAACCGGAUUAGAUACCCGAGUAGUCC